UAAAAAUUUGCUGAGAGGGUUAUAUGACU
rnacentral:piRNA from 1 species